UACUUUGUUUUCCCGCCUUAUCAUCUCUCAUUUUUUUCUUUUUUCCUGUUACAGAAAACUUGACAAACAAACUGUUUUCCAUAUUGUUUUUCUUUUUGAGCUUUUGUAGAACACCCAAAAGGAUCCUUUUUGUUUCUCUGUGUGAUGCCUGAAAUUCAAGCAUUUUGAUCAGUUGUUAUAUUUUUCACAUGGGUCUGCUGUGAAAUGAAGUUGGAGACUUCAGUUUGAUGAACUUUCUUGUUUCUUGGCCCUAAAGAUGUCUAUAUUUGAUGCAGAUGAGCUUGAACAGCUCUGGUUCUGGAAGCUCAAUCCCAAGCUCAGCUUUCUUGGGCAGCAGUUUGAAGAAAGUCAGCUCUAGAGUCCCCUACCAGAAGAUUGUAUCUGCAGGUAAAUUAAAAAUUACUGCGGAAAUUGGUGAUGAGGAGAAGCAGACCAAAGAGGACAGGUGGAGGGGCCUUGCCUAUGAUAUUUCUGAUGACCAACAAGACAUAACAAGAGGAAAGGGAUUGGUUGAUUCUAUCUUCCAAGCUCCCCAGGGGUCUGGGACUCACUAUGCUGUCAUGAGCUCGUAUGAAUACAUUAGCACGGGACUUCGAGAGUAAGCAAGAAAAUAUAGAAAUUCAUUCAAUUUUUAUGGCUUGGAGAUCUGAAUGUUUUUAUGAGAG
rnacentral:lncRNA from 1 species